rnacentral:rRNA from 1 species
ACAGGGGGAUAACAGCUGGAAACGGCUGCUAAUACCGCAUAAGCGCACGAAGAGACAUCUCCUAGUGUGAAAAACUCCGGUGGUACAGGAUGGGCCCGCGUCUGAUUAGCUGGUUGGCAGGGUAACGGCCUACCAAGGCAACGAUCAGUAGCCGGUCUGAGAGGAUGAACGGCCACAUUGGAACUGAGACACGGUCCAAACUCCUACGGGAGGCAGCAGUGGGGAAUAUUGCACAAUGGGGGAAACCCUGAUGCAGCAACGCCGCGUGAGUGAAGAAGUAUUUCGGUAUGUAAAGCUCUAUCAGCAGGGAAGAUAAUGACGGUACCUGACUAAGAAGCUCCGGCUAAAUACGUGCCAGCAGCCGCGGUAAUACGUAUGGAGCAAGCGUUAUCCGGAUUUACUGGGUGUAAAGGGUGCGUAGGUGGCAGUGCAAGUCAGAUGUGAAAGGCCGGGGCUCAACCCCGGAGCUGCAUUUGAAACUGCAUAGCUGGAGUACAGGAGAGGCAGGCGGAAUUCCUAGUGUAGCGGUGAAAUGCGUAGAUAUUAGGAGGAACACCAGUGGCGAAGGCGGCCUGCUGGACUGUUACUGACACUGAGGCACGAAAGCGUGGGGAGCAAACAGGAUUAGAUACCCUGGUAGUCCACGCCGUAAACGA